rnacentral:rRNA from 1 species
AACGAACGCUGGCGGCAGGCCUAACACAUGCAAGUCGAGCGAGGACUUCGGUCCUAGUGGCGGACGGGUGAGUAACGCGUGGGAACGUGCCCUUUGCUUCGGAAUAGCCCUGGGAAACUGGGAGUAAUACCGGAUGAGCCCUUUGGGGGAAAGAUUUAUCGGCGAAGGAUCGGCCCGCGUUGGAUUAGGUAGUUGGUGGGGUAAUGGCCUACCAAGCCGACGAUCCAUAGCUGGUUUGAGAGGAUGAUCAGCCACACUGGGACUGAGACACGGCCCAGACUCCUACGGGAGGCAGCAGUGGGGAAUCUUAGACAAUGGGGGAAACCCUGAUCUAGCCAUGCCGCGUGAGCGAUGAAGGCCUUAGGGUUGUAAAGCUCUUUCAGCUGGGAAGAUAAUGACGGUACCAGCAGAAGAAGCCCCGGCUAACUCCGUG